rnacentral:rRNA from 1 species
CCCCUAGAUGUUCUGGGCCGCACGCGCGCUACACUGAACAGUUCAACAAGUCUUAACCUUGGCCGAUAGGUCUGGGUAAUCUUUGAACGCUGUUCGUGAUUGGGAUAGACCUUUGCAAUUAUGGGUCUUCAACGAGGAAUUCCUAGUAAACGCAAGUCAUCAGCUUGCAUUGAUUACGUCCCUGCCCUUUGUACACACCGCCCGUCGCACCUACCGAUUGAAUGGUCCGGUGAAAUCUCGGGACGGCGGCUUGGGCGCUUGCGUCCGACUGCUGAAACUUGAUUAAACCAUAUCAUUUAGAGGAAGGUGAAGUCGUANCA